CUACCCUUGACAUGCCACUAACGAAGCAGAGAUGCAUCAGGUGCCCGAAAGGGAAAGUGGACACAGGUGCUGCAUGGCUGUCGUCAGCUCGUGUCGUGAGAUGUUGGGUUAAGUCCCGCAACGAGCGCAACCCUUGUCUUUAGUUGCUACGCAAGAGCACUCUAGAGAGACUGCCGGUGACAAACCGGAGGAAGGUGGGGAUGACGUCAAGUCCUCAUGGCCCUUAUGGGUAGGGCUUCACACGUCAUACAAUGGUGCGUACAGAGGGUUGCCAACCCGCGAGGGGGAGCUAAUCCCAGAAAACGCAUCGUAGUCCGGAUCGUAGUCUGCAACUCGACUACGUGAAGCUGGAAUCGCUAGUAAUCGCGGAUCAGCAUGCCGCGGUGAAUACGUUCCC
rnacentral:rRNA from 1 species